rnacentral:rRNA from 1 species
CAGUCGCCACGGUAAUACGGAGGGUGCAAGCGUUAAUCGGAAUUACUGGGCGUAAAGCGCACGCAGGCGGUCUGUCAAGUCAGAUGUGAAAUCCCCGGGCUCAACCUGGGAACUGCAUUUGAGACUGUAUGGCUAGAGUGUGUCAGAGGGGGGUAGAAUUCCACGUGUAGCAGUGAAAUGCGUAGAUAUGUGGAGGAAUACCGAUGGCGAAGGCAGCCCCCUGGGAUAACACUGACGCUCAUGCACGAAAGCGUGGGGAGCAAACAGGAUUAGAUACCCCUGUAGUCCCUGUCUCUUAUAC